rnacentral:rRNA from 1 species
UACGUAGGGUGCAAGCGUUGUCCGGAAUUAUUGGGCGUAAAGAGCUCGUAGGCGGUUUGUCGCGUCUGCUGUGAAAUCUGGAGGCUCAACCUCCAGCCUGCAGUGGGUACGGGCAGACUAGAGUGCGGUAGGGGAGAAUGGAAUUCCUGGUGUAGCGGUGGAAUGCGCAGAUAUCAGGAGGAACACCGAUGGCGAAGGCAGUUCUCUGGGCCGUAACUGACGCUGAGGAGCGAAAGCGUGGGGAGCGAACAGG